rnacentral:rRNA from 1 species
CCUAACACAUACGCAAGUCGCACGGUCUUGUUUAGGCCUGUGAGGCGAAAUGAAGAUAAACUGCUACGAAAUUGUAGACCUUCCCGGUUGGCAAUUGCAAUAGCGGCCUGCCUACUUCCUUUAUCUGGGGAUAUGGUGGAGCUGGAGCGUAUGCGUUGGU